UCACCCUGGAGUGGAGCAAUGGCCCGCAGGAAAAGCUGCCUUUCUUGAGCCCCAAAUCGUCAUCAUUUAGAUGUAUGAGUGUCAUCCCGAGCAUGUGUAUGUUCAGUCAAAGCCAGCACCAGCCACAGAAAAGAACCUUUGAGCGGGAGGUGCCGGUAAACGGUGUCUCCAUCACCACCUUCUUCGGACUCUGUCCUUCUACUUUUAGGGAUUUGACGGAACAAACUGCCCCAGACACCACUGAGAUCAUGACAUAGGCCAGCACACUUCCGGAAAUUCAAACUGACAGAAACUCCUGCCUCCUGCUAUUGCAAAAGUGGCUUGGUGUAGCAAGACGCCAGCUCGGAGCCUGGACCGCAGCUAAAGGUUCUUGACCCUCUCUGCAGAGAUGGGAGUGCCUGGGGGGCUGAAAGCUUUGGCAGGGUUGACAUAAACACUCAGGUUAAGGCAUUUUUCAUCUGUUUAACCAGAUCUCAUUAUAUUGUCAAACAAGACUGCAGUGCUCACAAGAAACAGCUAUGGUAUUCUUGUUGAGAGUUGGGACGAGA
rnacentral:lncRNA from 1 species